GACGAACGCUGGCGGCGUGCUUAACACAUGCAAGUCGAACGAUGAAGCUGGAGCUUGCUCUGGUGGAUUAGUGGCGAACGGGUGAGUAACACGUGAGUAGCCUGCCCUGGACUCUAGGAUAACCCCGAGAAAUCGGAGCUAAUACCGGAUAGGACCUCGGAUCGCAUGAUCUGGGGUGGAAAGUUUUUCGGUCUGGGAUGGACUCGCGGCCUAUCAGGGUGUUGGUGUGGUAAUGGCUCACCAAGGCGUCGACGGGUAGCCGGCCUGAGAGGGUGACCGGCCACACUGGGACUGAGACACGGCCCAGACUCCUACGGGAGGCAGCAGUGGGGAAUAUUGCACAAUGGGCGCAAGCCUGAUGCAGCAACGCCGCGUGCGGGAUGACGGCCUUCGGGUUGUAAACCGCUUUUAGUAAGGAAGAAGCCGCAAGGUGACGGUACUUGCAGAAAAAGGACCGGCUAACUACGUGCCAGCCGCCGCCGUAAGAC
rnacentral:rRNA from 1 species